AAAACAAACCAUAAAAGAUGUAAUAGACCAAAACAAACCAUAUGUUUUUUCUUUGUAUUUUCUUCUUACUCCCAAACAUAGCAGUAACGUUGUCUUAAACAAAUUCCCUACUCCGUCUCUUUUGGAUCAUUGAUAAUUUCCAACUUUCCAAAUUAAGAACAUCACAUUCCAAUUCCUUUCCUCCACAAACAUUACUCAAAGAUAUUCAAU
rnacentral:lncRNA from 1 species